rnacentral:rRNA from 1 species
GCACCCGUCGCUUCGGCGACGGGGAGGUUUUCAAAGAACACUUGUGUCGCCCGUGCUCGAACCAAUUUUGAAUUCUUUUUCUAUCACGCUGUGACUGGAUCCAAGCAAAGUAUUCUCUGCCAAGAGAAUUGUAAUUGAAAGGAAAACA